GCACGGGUGCGUAACAGGUGUGCAAUCUGGUCCAUAAUCGGGGAAUAGCCCAGCGAAAGUUGGAUUUAAAUGCUCCAUGUGAGUUUUAGAGGCAUCUCUUUAAUUUGAAACGUAAGGAUUAUGGGUGAGCACGCUUCUGAUUAGGUAGUUGGUGAGGUAACGGCUCACCAAGCCGACGAUCAGUAGGGGUUCUGAGAGGAAGGUCCCCCACAUUGGAACUGAGACACGGUCCAAACUCCUACGGGAGGCAGCAGUGAGGAAUAUUGGUCAAUGGGCGAAAGCCUGAACCAGCCAAGUCGCGUGAAGGAUGAAGGUUCUAUGGAUUGUAAACUUCUUUUGUCUGAGGGUAAAAAAGCGGACGUGUCCGUUCUUGCAAGUAUCAGACGAAUAAGCAUCGGCUAACUCCGUG
rnacentral:rRNA from 1 species